UAUAUAAUGGUCUCGGUAAUCUAAAUAAAAUACUAGAAAUAAUUUCUUAAAUUUAUUUGUCUAUAUUA
rnacentral:tRNA from 1 species